rnacentral:tRNA from 1 species
CUCGGGGCGGCCGUAGCGGCCGAGUGCGUUGGCGGCGCGCUGGAAGUCGGCGUUCGGGCCGUCCUCCGGGU